AACGAACGCUGGCGGCAUGCCUAACACAUGCAAGUCGAACGAGACCUUCGGGUCUAGUGGCGCACGGGUGCGUAACGCGUGGGAACCUGCCCUUAGGUUCGGAAUAACUCCCCGAAAGGGGUGCUAAUACCGGAUAAUGUCUUCGGACCAAGGAUUUUCGCCUUUGGUUGGGGCCGCGGUGGAUUUGCGCGUUGGUAGGGGAAGAGGCCACCAAGGCGACGAUUCCUAGGCUGGCUGAGAGGAUGACCAGGCACACUUGGGCUGAGACACGGGCCGGACUCCUACGGGAGGCAGCAGUGGGGAAUAUAGGACAAGGGGCGAAAGCCUGAUCCAGCAAGGCCGGGUGAGUGAUGAAGGCCGUAGGGUUGUAAAGCUCUUUUACCCGGGAUGAUAAUGACAGUACCGGGAGAAUAAGCUCCGGCUAACUCCGUG
rnacentral:rRNA from 1 species